AUGAGAAAACUGAGGUUUAAUUGCUUUGCCCAGGGUCACAUAGCUGUGCCUAACAUGAGCCCCGAACUCAGUGCUGGGAGCCAGAGAUAGGACCACCUUGUGAUCUGAAGAAAGUUAUUGCAAUAACAGAAAAAUGAUACAGGGUAUCCUGCAUUUGAGAUGAAUCUUGAAGGAAGUCAAGGAAGCUAAGAAUCUGAGAUGAGGAGGAGAUCAUUCCAGGGAGAGGAGGAACAUCCAGUGCCAAUACUGGGAAGAUGAAUUAUCAUGCAAGAAGAAAAGCAAAUAAGAUGGUUUAACUGGAUUGUAGAAUGGAUAAGGAGAAUGACGAGUUCACAAUCAAAAGGACUAGAAAGUGGUCGAGCUGAGACUGAAAUCCUGGUCACAGAGAGCUGAAAAGGACGUUCAAGAUAAUCCGAUGCAAAUCCUUUUUUUAUAGAAGCUUGGUGGAUAGACCUUGGGACUUGUAGAAAGGAAGACUUGAAUUGAGAUCUGCCCUGAGGAACUGAUUAGCUCUGGAAAGACUAGUUGGAGAAGGAAAUGGCAGUCCACUCCAGGACCUUUACCAAGAACUCCCAAAUGGAGUCACAAAAGGAUACAACUGAAGAAUGACAAAACUGUGUAUUCUUGAGCAAGUCAUUUGACAUCUUAUUGCCUCAAUGUGCUCAAUUAAAAUAUAGGGAUAAUAAUUGAGGUAUUUUAGGAAAGAAAAAGUUGAGGUUUUUAGGAAAAACUAUGAGAGUUUUCCUGAUCUAUCUCCAUCUCUAUGUAAAAAAAAAUAUUCUCUUUAUCCUCGCAUUUCUAGUCUUUCUCUGUCUCUUCUUUGCCCCCAUCUCUCUCUUCCUUCUAUAAUAUUUUAUUGUCAUCACUGUUCAUUUAAUUCAGUUGUGUCUGACUCUUCAUGAUCAUCAUUUGGAGUUUUCUUGGCUAAGAUAAUGGAGUGGUUUUCCAUUUCCUUUUCCAGAUCAUUUGACAGAUGAAGAACUUGAGGUAAAUAGCUAAAAGACUCACUCAGGGUCACAUAGUAAUUAUCUGAGGCAGGAUUUGAACUCAGGUCUUCCUAACUCUAACCUUGGAACUCUAUCCACUGUACCACCUGACUGCCAUAUUGUCUUGCCUAGGGUAACACCAUAAAUAGAAGGUCAGAUUUAUGGAUUCUGUAUCUGAAUCUUUCCCCAUUACACAAUACCAUUUCUGAUGGCAGGCUUACUGUCUUUAUUUUUUUUAUUAGACAGUUACAUAUAAAAUACUUUUAUUUAAAUGGUUAUUUAAAAC
rnacentral:lncRNA from 1 species